AAGUUAUUUCCAGUAAAAUGUUCAUACUAAUUAAACCAUAGAGUCAAUGUAUGGUUAUAGCUGCCCAUGCAGACCAUGAUUUACUAGUUCUUUGUAUACAUCACGGUGCUUUUUCUGUCGUGAAUCACAAUCCAUUGCUCAGUUUUAACAAUGCAGUGUUGAUACAAGAUGAACUGCAGCGAGUCCAAGCACCGUAGGUGUCUUGUAUUGUGAAGUAGGUAGACUCAUUAGCACUAAUGACCUAUUCAGUAUACUAUGCACCUAUUCAAGUGUCUGGCAACUUGUGAAUGGAUACUUGUAGUUUUCACACUAUAGUGUUUGGUUUGAAGCUGAGUAGACUAUAUUCAACAGUUGAAGUGUCAGUCCAAAUUACAAUGAUGUCUGAAUAACAAGUGAAGGGAAUAAAGAACACGCAUUAUAGUAGGGCCACACUGACUUUGCCAUUUUAAAUUUUGAAUAACUUUCUUAUUUUAAGUGCUAUAAACGGCGGUGUUUCACUGUUGUGCAAUGCUUGGAUUUUCGGUUCUUUUGAUAUAAGAUAAUAGUAGAAGGAAGCUUGUCAAAGUGAAAAAAAAUCAAAGCACGCGGCCACUUAGCAAGUAUUUACGCCAUUACUACCACCUACACUUUGUAAACACGUGGGCAGUAAACUGACUGGAAGAAGAAUGGCAGCGAUUCAACAGCAGAGGGAAUGGGAAGGAAAUAAGACGAAAAGGACAAGGAAUAUGACUGAAAUCACAGGCGAAGACAAUAAUUAUAGGCAACGUUUAAGAGGACAGCAUACGCUAGAACCACACAGCCUGGUUUUCUCUUCUUUGAGGACCACUACUGGCAGAAUGAUAGGCUUCAUGUACAAGCAAGACUUAGUGUGUCUGAGUUUAUUUGUUACUCAUGUCAGUUGUGAAUCCAGUGAUGAACCUGAUUAGAUGAGCGAUUCCACCAGUCAGAUAGAUGCCACCCAAAACUCGGCCUUUCUCUAUCAUAUCGUGGCUGCAACUGACAAGGCCGUUUGACUAUUUUUUAUCUCUUAUUUUCAUAUACUUUUGGUUUUAAUAAUAAUUACAAAUGUACUGUACUUUUUAAUUACAUUCUUAGUGGUAAACAUUAAAAUAAACAAAUACUUAACAAACACUUAUUCAUAAUUGGCAGCUACUUAAAUGAUGACCUAUCAA